rnacentral:rRNA from 1 species
GCUACGGGGGGCAGCAGUGAGGAAUAUUGGUCAAUGGACGCAAGUCUGAACCAGCCAUGCCGCGUGCAGGAAGACGGCUCUAUGAGUUGUAAACUGCUUUUGUACGAGGGUAAACGCAGAUACGCGUAUCUGUCUGAAAGUAUCGUACGAAUAAGGAUCGGCUAACUCCGUGCCAGCAGCCGCGGUAAUACGGGGGAUUCAAGCGUUAUCCGGAUUUAUUCGGUUUAAAGGGUGCGUAGGCGGUCGGAUUAGUUAGAGGUGAAAUCCCGAGGCUCAACUUCGGAAUUGCCUAUGAUACUGUUCGGCUAGAGAGUAGUUGAGGUAGGCGGAAGGUAUGGUGUAGCGGUGAAAUGCUUAGAUAUCAUACAGAACACCGAUUGCGAAGGCAGCUUACCAAGCUACUUCUGACGUUGAGGCACGAAAGCGUGGGGAGCAAACAGGAUUAGAUACCCGGGUAGUC